ACGUUCGCGAUAUAUGGUAUUUAUUAGUCAUACAUUCAUAAUGGGGAAACAUUUCAGUAUAAUUAAGUGUUCGACAGUAAUUUACGUGUUUUGUGUAUAAUGUUAUCUAAAAUAGUUUUACUAUGUUUCUUCAAUUGUUUAUACCUUCAUGCAAAAGCAGACACAGAAUGCGAUGAAUUUACCAUGGAUAUUGAGGAUAUUCGGGAAUUUAGCAGUUUUAAGCCAAUAAACAACUCAAUAACAUACAUACACACAACAGCCAAAGAACUCAGUGCCUGUGACUAUCUUCGGGUAUAUGUUGAGUUAGAAGAACCAGUGCCAGGACUAACGAGUGCAAAGGCCAACUUCACACUUAAGCUGGAAGACACAUCAAAGAGCAGUCUUGUAUCACAGGAGAAUCAGGUUAAUGGUGGACUUAUAGCUGGAAUUAUCAUUGGUCUAAUACUCCUCAUAAUUGCUGGAUAUUUUGGAUAUAAUAUACUGAUGGGAAAACUUAAAUCUGGAGUAUAUCGUUUCCCUCCAACAACGGAAACAAUUCAGUUUAAAACGUUAUAAAAAAUGUAAUUGAACCAAAAAUUCGCCAAUACUGCCGAUACUUUUAGCUUUAUACUUAUAUUCUAAUAAGCAAGAAUUUAUAUUAAGAAUGCAACAAUCUCAAUAUAAUUACAUAAUAUACGACAUCACACCAUCAUUAAGAGCGGACCCUAACCAAAAUUACUCAACGUAGAUUUGGUUUUAUCUAAGUAUGUCAUGCUUGAAAUAAAAACAAUAAAUAUGAAUUGAUCCUUCCCUAUAAUUUCAAUCGUUGACUCUAAUUAAAAACACAAUACUAUACAAAUUCCUUGAUACAAAAACACGAGGUCACUUGUUACUUUUGCCUACUUUCGUUUUUAUUCAAGCAUGGCAAGUAUUAUGGAGCCAAAAAAUAAUUGAAUUCCAGCACAUUAGUACUGUUACUAGCGAUUUCAUGAAAUAUCUUACGAGUUAUUUAAAUAAAAAGCAUUUGUCAUUAACUUCAUUUCUGUCCGUCUCAUCUCACGCGAACUUCAGGCAUACGUUUGUUUCACUCGUCUCUUGAGCGGGCGGAGAAAGAGGUUGAAAUCGUGCAUUUUGCUAUCGCGCUCUUAACAAACAAACGUGAAAAAUAUUUUAGAUAAAAUUGCUUUAACAAUGCAAUACGUUUUUGACAUACAAAACCGUAUAAAAACGUAUAGGAUUUUGAUAGUCGGAAGUAAUUUUUCGAGUGUCGUUUCCCAAUUUUCUUUGUGCCAUGUCCCUUAGCCUAUGUAACAUGCAUAAUUUUUAAUAUUAAAAAAAAAUAUUUCACUUAAGAAAAUUAUAUGAUAGCUUUUAGGAAAAAAAUACUAGGAAAUUGUUAACUGUUUAUUGGAAUUUGAAUUUUUCAUUAUACGUUUAAUACUUUAUAAUUACUUUAUAAGUAAGUAUAUCUUCAAAACGUAUAAUGAAAAAUUCAAAUUCCAAUAAAAACUCUGUCGGCGUUGGGAAACACUGAAUUAGAUAUCACUUAAUAGUCUAUAUCUAAAACAAUCAACAUUUAUUUUAAGAAAACUAUUUUAAGAAUCAGAAUCUAAAAAUAAUUCUUAUUGCUAUUCGCUAGAUUUCAACAGCCGUGUUUUGUUUCUUUGAAGGAACGAUGUCAAAACUGCGCAUGUCAGAAGCGACCAACAUAAAUUGAGACACGCAAACAAUUUUGUGAACAUUAUGCAAUAUAAAAGUUUAACUUAUACACACGUAUUCAAGUUUCGCCAAGAAAUAUUUAGACUAAAAUUUAAUUAGUUUUAUCAAAUUAGUAUAGAUACUGUAUCUAAUAUAUCCUUUAUUGUAAAACCUCAUAAUGUCCUCUUUUUUUAGAAUUUCACAUUAUUAAUUUAGCGCUUAAUUAUUGUAAAUUGUUGUAUUAUUUAAAUUGAGAGUUCAAAAUCUACAAAAGGAGAUCGAUUUUACAUAAAUUACAAUUUAAUUUAUUAAUUACACACUUGUAAUGUAUUGUUGAAAUUGUUUACAAUACUACUAGUUAAAUUAAAAUUAAACAAAGGAACUAACUAAGAAACUAAAACUAAUUAAACUAAGAUUAACAUUGACUUCAUAUAUUUUUGCAUUAUGAUGCCAAACCAAGAAACCGCGCUAAUAAUAACGAAACCAUUAAAUUUUUAUUAUUUGACUUCAUUUUAAUAAUUACAAUAUUUCAAAGGUUUAAUUACUGCUCUAAGUAAAUUUUAGUAAACGGGUAAAAAGGAUUCCCCUUAAUUCAGAAAAUAGGUCACAAAAUAUUUUUAUUCAAUACUUUAUAAAGUUAAAUAUAAUCGUUAUUUUGCCCCCCAGAUCACUUAACACUGGUCAAUGACAACUUCACUUGCUUCGGCAGUCGUCGGUGUUUGUCGUUGUCACUCGGUAAAUAGAGCCUUCACUAUUUAGGGGGACGUAUUUGAUUUAUUUGUCACAAUAAUAGCAAUUAAUUAAAAAGGUACGUUAAAUUUCUUUAGGUAAUACAAAAAAUCUAAUUCUUUAUUACCGUUAUUUUAUAUAACAGAUUUUAUAUUCAAAUAUACGUUUUAUAAUAUAUGAGAUAUAUAGUAAGGCUUUUAAAUUUCAAUAUCGUGGUAUUCAUCAGUAUAUAUAUGUUGCGUUUGUUUAUUUUCCUACAGCUAUGGUAAAUAGUAUAAAUUUUAUUUAAACUAACGUAUACUCUUGAUGUGCUAAGUACUCUUACGUUAAUGAUCGACCGAGUAAUCUAUCAUUAAAUUUUUAUUAAAUAUUAAAUCAAUAA